rnacentral:rRNA from 1 species
UACGUAGGGUGCAAGCGUUAAUCGGAAUUACUGGGCGUAAAGGGCGCGUAGGCAGCUUUAUAAGUCGGGGGUGAAAGCCUGUGGCUCAACCACAGAAUUGCCUUCGAUACUGUAGAGCUUGAGACCGGAAGAGGUAAGUGGAACUGCGAGUGUAGAGGUGAAAUUCGUAGAUAUUCGCAAGAACACCAGUGGCGAAGGCGGCUUACUGGUCCGGUUCUGACGCUGAGGCGCGAAAGCGUGGGGAGCAAACAGG